GUUGCAUGUCGUUUACAAGUUUACCAAGAUAAAAAGUUUGAAUCUUUAUCAAUUUUUAGAACAUGUGUAUGUAACCUGUUUUGUCAAGAUUUGUGUUUAUUACAAACAGAGAAACAGUCAAUAGCAGAGUUAUAUCUUGAAACAAAAGCUUCUGAAAUAAUUCAGUUCUGUGAUUUAUAUGAUUGUUUUCCACUACUCUGUAAAUUGUAUAAAGAAACCCGGAACUCAAUCUUACAGAUUUCUUCAAAAAUCCGUUUUCAGUUUACACGACUGAAAUUGACAAGCUUGAUAAAAACGGGCAUAAUGGAAAAUUCUGUGGCUUGGCUUUGUGUGUUAUGUUCAAGAAUCACUUGAGGGAGGACUGGUUGACAGAUGAGAUAGAUGAGGAAAAAUCAAAGAUAAUAAAAAACACAUGUGAGGCGAGUAGACUGGCCAGAGGAACAUCACGACUGUUUCUACUUGAUGAACUAAAUUCACUUGAACAUACUUUUAUUAAGAAAGAACAAGGUGUAUUUAAAACAAAACAUGAUAAAAUAUUUGACUUACUUGCAUACUAUUUUGGACAAAAAAUGAUCCAGUGUUUGAUAAAGAAUGCGCACCCGUUUGUUAUUAUGCAAAGAUUUUUACUAGAAAGAAAAGAUGACAUGAUCAGUUCAUCACCAUUGUACCACCUCAAUACCA
rnacentral:lncRNA from 1 species